rnacentral:rRNA from 1 species
CUGACCUCUGAUCAGUA